CAUGCAAGUCGAACGAGCGAGAGAGAGCUUGCUUUCUCGAGCGAGUGGCGAACGGGUGAGUAACGCGUGAGGAACCUGCCUCAAAGAGGGGGACAACAGUUGGAAACGACUGCUAAUACCGCAUAAGCCCACGGUGCCGCAUGGCACAGAGGGAAAAGGAGCAAUCCGCUUUGAGAUGGCCUCGCGUCCGAUUAGCUAGUUGGUGAGGUAACGGCCCACCAAGGCGACGAUCGGUAGCCGGACUGAGAGGUUGAACGGCCACAUUGGGACUGAGACACGGCCCAGACUCCUACGGGAGGCAGCAGUGGGGAAUAUUGCACAAUGGGGGAAACCCUGAUGCAGCGACGCCGCGUGGAGGAAGAAGGUCCUCGGAUUGUAAACUCCUGUUGUUGAGGAAGAUAAUGACGGUACUCAACAAGGAAGUGACGGCUAACUACGUGCCAGCAGCCGCGGUAAAACGUAGGUCACAAGCGUUGUCCGGAAUUACUGGGUGUAAAGGGAGCGCAGGCGGGAAGACAAGUUGGAAGUGAAAUCUAUGGGCUCAACCCAUAAACUGCUUUCAAAACUGUUUUUCUUGAGUAGUGCAGAGGUAGGCGGAAUUCCCGGUGUAGCGGUGGAAUGCGUAGAUAUCGGGAGGAACACCAGUGGCGAAGGCGACCUACUGGGCACCAACUGACGCUGAGGCUCGAAAGUGUGGGUAGCAAACAGGAUUAGAUACCCUGGUAGUCCACACCGUAAACGAUGAUUACUAGGUGUUGGAGGAUUGACCCCUUCAGUGCCGCAGUUAACAC
rnacentral:rRNA from 1 species